rnacentral:lncRNA from 1 species
GGUUUUCUCCGUGCGUUGGUCCCUACAGUAGAUAAAACGGGCACAGUAGCUAAAAUUAACGCCUAAGUAAAACCGCUGCCGGUGAGUUUUGGGAGUAUUUUCGCUUUUUUGAAAGUUAGUAUUUUGGCUCUCACAAAGCCUCCUGAUUUUAGUAGGCUUUCCCUGGAAUGACCCAGAUUCCUUUUCGUUACCUUAGUUAAGGCACCCCCUCCCCGUGCAGGGUCAGGGUUGGAAAACUACCGCGCUGAGCCCAAAUUACCGCGAAGAUCGUCGGAAAUGUGCGCAACUCAGCUAAAGCGGAGAUUUAAUGGAUGGUAUUCAGUAGAAAAUGGGACAAGACAUGAAUGGACAGUUUACAGGAAAAAAAAAUGCAAGGGGCCCCUAAACAUUUAAGUGGGUGCUCAGCCUUUUUCAUAAUCAGAAGAAUGCAAACGAAAACCUCACUGAGCUAAGGCUUCUGAUCCAUCAGAUUGUCAAAAAUCCAAAAGUUUAACAAGCGAGGUACGCUGUUAAGGACAAUACAGGAACCUGAUCUGUCCUGCAUUGUUGGGAGGGAGUGCAAAUUUACCUUUGACCCGCAAUCCACCUCUAGAAUCUACUCUGAAAGUAAACUUGCACAAAUAUGAAAACAGCAUACGCGCAAGGUUUUAUUUGUAGUGGCACUGUAUGAAUUUGCAAGACUGGAAACCAUGCAGAUGUCCAUGAGAGGGGGAGUGGCUGAGUAAACUGGUACAUCCGGGCUGGUACUACAGCCCAGCUGACUCUGUGGCGUUAAGAAAAAUGAGGAAAACUACAAUAUUUUCUAUGGCGUGAUUUGUCUCCAGAGAUGAUGUAUAUUGGCUGCUACCGUUAGCAAAAAGAAGCACUGAAACGAUAAAACCAAAACUGAUAAAAUUGAUAGCGUAAAUGGUGGAGAAUCCGGUGGAAGCCCUAGAGGGGUUCCACCAAAAGAAAAAUAAGGUGACAAUAAUAAUAGUAAAAAGAAUCUGUGGCAGUAGGAAUCUGCCAGGCUUCCUGUUCUGGAACCCAGCACUAGACCCGGAAAGGCAUGUUUGGCUGGGUGGGCCUCAAGUUACUUAUAAUUGGUGGCCAUGCUAUAGCCUGAGUGAAGGAUUUCUGGUACCCUGCCGCUCUCCAAAAAGACGUCUCUUUGGGAACUCUAGAACUGGAAUGGUCCAUCAGCACCUGCCUUUUGGCAGAGAGGGCAGGCCUUUGUACCCCACUAGUGACUUGGUUUGGAGGUGGGCUGCCCCCAGAACAGGAUGUAAUCUUGGGCAAGGCAGCUGCUGUCAGGCUGGGCACAACCUCCCCCUCAAGGCUGUGAGGAGGGAAGAAAGGAAACAACUUCUACUUUCUUUAAAGUAGGAAACCUCCUCAUCUGCCACCUCUCCUGCAGUGAGAAGUAGAGACUAGACGUGGAUACUCCCACAUAGGAUACUGGGGCCUAAUGGAUGACUGUGGGCCUCCACCAGGCGCAGGUGACCCUGCAGAUAUGAUUCAGAGGCAGCCUCUCGCUGCUGUUCAUCAGCAGCCUGAUUCCAUGUGGACUAUACUGUUGCUUUCAGAAAUCAUGGUCUGCCUGGACCUAGCCAGGCUCACUGUUGAAGUCUUGUUGUGUGCUCUUCCUUCCAGGCCCAGAGAGCUGCCCAGUAGAUCAACUUGGGCUUUCUAUCAGGCUCUAAGUACAGGCAGGUCCUUAGGACAAAUUAGAAUAAAACAAUCUCAGAGUGAAAAAAAAAAAAAAAA